CACUCUCCUCCAGGGUUGGGUCACUUUGCUUACCCUGUGCUGGGGGUAAGCUGCAUGCACACAGGGAGAAUGCCACGUGAAGACAAGGCAGAGAUCAGGUGAAGCGUCCACAAGCCAAGAGAUGCCUAAUCCUGCCAGAACCUGGGAGAUAGGCAUGAAACAGAUUCUCCCUCAUGGGCAGCAGGAGGAGAUCUUGUCUCCUCAGAAGGAAGCAACCCUGCUGACCUUGAUUUCAGGCUUCAGCCUCCAGAACAGAGGCAAUACAUUUCUGUUGUUGAAAUACAUAACUUGUGAAUCUGUGUUACAGCAGCACUAGCAAACUGAUACAGCGUCGACAGACAGCAGGAAUUUGUGUGGCACACAGAAAGCAAACUUGCUGCCAGUUGAAAUGAACAGAACCUGAGCACCCCCUACCCCUCCCAUGGCUGUCACUUGCAAAGCUGUUAAACAUGAUGCAGCUGACCAGGGUGGGGAGGUGGGCUGCAGGGGGUACCCAGGCUGCCUACAAAACCAGCUUGUCCCCUGCCUGAUUGCAGAUGAGUGCCCUGGCCAGGCAGAGGAGCAGAGGAGGAAAACUUGGCUACAUCCCUGCCUGCCUCCCUGGCCAGGGUGGUGCUCCCUGCCAGCUGGCCCAGCUCCCCACCACAUACCUGGCCGGGAGUCAGUAGGAAAACAGUGUGUGUUUAUAGGGCUUUGUACUGAAGGGCGUUAGAUCAAUGCAAAGCUAAUAAAUUAGAGAUAAG
rnacentral:lncRNA from 1 species